rnacentral:rRNA from 1 species
UACGGAGGGUGCAAGCGUUAUCCGGAUUCACUGGGUUUAAAGGGUGCGUAGGUGGCUUUGUAAGUCAGUGGUGAAAGCCCGGAGCUCAACUCCGGAACUGCCAUUGAUACUGCUUAGCUUGAAUCACGUCGAGGUGGAUGGAAUAAUACAUGUAGCGGUGAAAUGCUUAGAUAUGUAUUAGAACACCCGAUUGCGAAGGCAGUUCACUAGGCGUGUAUUGACACUGAGGCACGAAAGCGUGGGGAUCAAACAGG